CCUCACAGCAGCUGCAGCAAGCCCCACCCAAUGAGACUCUAAGACUCCGGCAGUUACGGUUGUUGAAAAUUUCAAACAUGGUGUCAUCGUGAAGAACAUCUGGCUCUUGAUCCCAGUGCUUAGUCCCACAGAUUCCAUUCAGGAUGCCAUGUGACAUAAACACCAGGAAUGUGCUGUCUGAGGACUGGUGCUCUGGCUUUCAUAGGGGCUUGAGAAAUAACUGUAAUUAUCCCACUUUACAGAGGAAGAAAUGAAGCACAGAAAGAUGAAGGAACUUCCCCAUGUUCCCACAGGUAUCCACAGUUCUAGCAAGGCAUGCAAUGGUACUGCUCAUUGUAGAAUCAGAUGAGAAAUAUGGAGAAGAAGACUUGAAGUUGAUCAUUUGAGAAAGAGAAGCCAUUCCUGGAAUCCAUAAAAACACUAUGUAAAAUGUUAAAUGGGCUUAAUAAAAAAACAGAAUUCAUCAUAUGUUUAAAUGAAAAUUCUGCCAAUGUGAAGACAUGCUGGAUCCUUGGAUAUUCCCUGGUCAGAGGGAAGAAGCCAGAGUGAUCGAUGGCCUUUUUCCAUCUUCAUAGCCUACACCUUAAGAUUAAGCUAUUAGAAAACCCAAAUGGAGGGAUUGAAACUGCUUUUGCAAUAUCAUAACUGAGAGCAAUAAAACAAGUGUUUUCUAAGAUCCUACUCCCAAGCUCCUAGUCAGAAAAGGACUCACCUGCCAUAGGGAACAGCCUCUGUCCUUUUCUACAGCGUUGAAAAGAGCC